GGGAAGGAACAGUUGCAAAGCACAGCUAGGUGCCUCUGCGCCGGCUGUGAGGGAACAUCUCUGUUGCUUUCAGUGCUGAGAGUGUCUGCUCGCCAGAAGGCCUGUGUUUCCUAGGCAGCUCAUGCUGGUGGGAGUCAUUUCUGCGAUGCCAGUGUUCCUUUCAUGAGUCUGCCUCAGCUCAAGGCAAAGAGCGUGAGCCUAUUUGAGACUGAAAUGCUAUUCUGCACCACGUUAGAUCAACGAGUUGAUGGCAGUAAUCAACCAGCUUACAAUUAUUGGAAAUAAUUUUGGCUAUAAGCCAAGUCCUGUAUUACAGCCUUAAGGAUGCUUCCAUGCAGAACAAGACAUGGAAAGCAUUCGGGUGGCUUAGCAGGAUUUCCACACAGCUCCAGAGAGCAGAUAUUAUGGAAACUCUGCAACCUUUUGAACAUAGCACGUUCUCCUUCUUUCUUGGCAUUUCAAACCUAUGAGGCUUCAUGAUCAAAGCCCUAGCACACUCCAAAUAAUAAAGGAAUCACCAGACACUCUACCUUGAUGUCAGGAUCCUGUUUCUCACGUAAUUUUUGGCUGAUGACUGGGGUGGAGACACAGGGGUAAAGCAACACUUGAGCAGCAUUGCAGAAACCUAGACUGAAGUUUUUCAUACUUCACUGAAGUCCAAGGCCAUUUACGUGCUUUGCUGAACACACUAAGAUCAGAGACAUUAGACUGGGAAGUACAAGGAAACCAGCAGGGCCCAAAGCAACAGCUCACAAUAACCAGCCACUGAGAAGCUCACAAAGGACUGGGGGUCACAGACUGUGUCUAGCACCUGCUAGAGUGUUCCUAGGGGUGCACUGAAGAUGAAGAUCUACAGCACUUGAUGGCCAGAUUUUCUCAGCUCAGGCCUAGUUCAGUCUGAGCCUGAGCAGGAAAUGCCAGAACCCUUUGGCAAGGCCCAAGAUCUGUGCAAGGUAAGAUCUUGGUAAUUCUUUCUGCCAGACAUUGUCACCACAAGACCAAGGAGAAACUGUUCAAAGGGCCAGGACCUUGUCAUGCUUCAUGGUGAGCCUGCUCUGGGAGGACCCUACGCAGCAGGCUCACUCACUGAUUUCUUCAAAGAAUAUCCACCAGUCAUCAUGAAGUUACUGGUAAGGAUCCUAUCAUUGAGAAAGGAUCAGACAGAUGGCCACAAAGCCUCGUGGCACCCUGGGUGAAUUUCACAGAGCAAUAUGAACAAGCCAUGAGUCCAUGCUCUAUCACGGGCACAAUGUCCAGAAAGAUUUGGGAUUUUCUGCUCCAGCUCUGCUUUAAAACCAGGUAGUUUUCUUCCUCCCAUUACUCUUACUGGUUGUAGAUUGCCAUUGCUUUGACAAUUAGAAAGUUUUUCUAAUUGCCAGUGUAAAUGUAUUCUGUUCAGUUUAAUGCCCUUUGCUUAAAAUGGUCUUUUUCCCCUUCAGCGAUUACCCCUCUAAUGUUCUCUUAGCAAGUGUCUGACCUUGAGUUGGGCAGCUAGCCUCAUUCUCCUCACUCUGCUGGAGACAGACUAGGAAAACCCCAUUUCCCAUGUUUUCCUUGAUCCCUGAUAUUGAUUCUGGCUCUGACUGCUGUCCUCCCCAGAGGAGGCAUCCCUCCAGGAAAAAGAGAUUCAAAGGAGGAGGUCACAGUGUUAGCAAAGGCCAAGGUCUUCCUGUCCACCGACCCCAUUAGGCUGAGAUGCUCAUAGCAGUGCUAUGAUAUUGCCCCAGUGACACUUCUCCCCCUCGCUGGGAAGCACUAUUUCUCCAUGGAUUCUCUCUUCUUGCCUAAACAGAAGAUGCAUCACCAAAUGUUGUGACAUAUUCAGGGAAAAUUAUUAUUAUUCCUUUUGUAUGUAACAGAUCAAUAUACCACAGACUUGCAGCAACCAGAUUAGAAAGUAAUAGAACAAACUUAGGAAAAUGAAGAGGAAAAACCCCAAAUUAUAAAUGAAACAAGCCUUGCCUCCAACCUUACAUUUAAGCCAACAAAUAUAUUAAAACAUGUUUUUAACUGCUAAGUAUUGGCAAGCAUAGCCAAUCCUAGAGCAAUCACAGAGCAAUAAAAUAGCAGCCAUAAAAAACAGAUUGGAUGCUAUGAGAUAAACCGCAGCACAUCAAUUUACACAAUUAAUAACUGCCAGAAUAAUUGCAAUUCAUUUAGGAGUUGGAAUCAAAUCGCAAAUCAGUCCCAGAAAUGUGUUAAAUAACAAAUACCAAUUUUAAUACAGAAUUGCUGAGUAUGGCAUUAGUAAUUGUAAGGAGUGUUGUAAAUACAGAUGCUAAUCCCCUAGUGUUGCUCACAGUAUUAUUUACACAUUUUGCACUAACACUUUGUCCCCACUGGUGUCACAUACAACAGUAUUUAUUCCCAAAGUGCUGUGUUAUUACUUUUGGAUUUCCAGGUACCUACUUUGCCUAUUGUUCAGUGGACUACUGCCAUAUCUUUUGCCCAGCAGUCAUAUACAUGCUUAGCAUCUCUUCUUUGAUUCAUAUCAGAAAAACAGGGAUUUUUCAGGCUGCAGCAAUGAGUUUCUGUGAUGGCAGAACUGUUCCCAAAUACCAGCAAUUAUUAUAACCACAAAGCAAAACACAUUAUUCCUGUUUGUAAACUAUGAUUAUAGGGCCUUAAUAUGUGUAGUUGUAAAGCUCAACCUUGAUUAAAGGUUUAAUUUACAGUGCAAUACUUUGUACUCACAGCUUGUUCCAGAAGAGAGGGAACAUGCUGCAUCUGAGACAGAGAUGUGGUUGCUGGCUGCCUGUGAUGGCUCGUUUCUCGUGAGCAGAUGUGGUGAGAGUGAGGCAA